CUGUGUUUUACAGGUAAGGUCAUCUUUUCCUUCCAUUAAUUAUGCACAGAGAUAUAUAUUUUAUGACAUAGUGAAUGUUUAUGAUGAAAGGCAUUUGUGCACAUGGUCCUCUCUUAACAGUUUAAUAGGAAAAUUGCAUGGAUUUACCUGAAUGGUGUAAACUGAAAGAAUCAUUCAUUCUGUUCACAAGUGUGUAUUUAUUUCGCAUCAUACAACCAAUUCUGAAUAUCUACAGCUAAAUGAUGACUGUGCUUUAGAUACCCACGGGAGAUGGAUGGUAAAUCAUCUAUAGAUUCAGAGCAGGAUUUUGACAGCUCUUCAGGAUCUGACUGGAUGAGUGAAAUGGAAAAAAGUAAAGGAAAACAAGGAGGAAAAAGAAAGAUUAGGGAACAAGAUGGAAAGGAGAAAGGAACAUAUUCCAACAAGAAGAAAAAAGCUAGAAGUAAAAGCAGUCCAGACCUGGACGAAAUCUUUCAGGAGGCCAGAAAUAAGACAAAACUAACUGUCCGUUGUGGAAAAAGGACUGGUCUUUUAUACAAAAAAAGGUAUAAGAAUGGAGGGAAGUGUAUUUCAUGUAAAGGGAAAUGGUUUACGCCCAGUAUGUUUGAGGAGCUUGGAGGAAAGGGGAAUAAUAAGAAGUGGAAGAGUAGCAUCUAUUACAUGUCAUCAAAUGGCCUUCAGCAAGUGCAAUUAGAGAAACUCAUACAGGUAUGUACUGUGUGCAGAUGGUGUAAGGCUUGAAUUUUAUUUGAUAUUUUUCUACAUUUU
rnacentral:lncRNA from 1 species